rnacentral:lncRNA from 1 species
AAACAUGUGCUAUGAUUUUGUAUCAGUGAAGAUUUUAAAAUAGUUAGGAGAAAAAGAUAUUUAAAAUAUAUGUAAAAACAAAAUCCUUAGGUGCCCCUCCAGAGAUAAAACAUUAAUAAUGAGUACAAGGCAUGAGUAUACUUCACACUAAUGAAAUAUAGGCGUCUUCAGUCCUUGGUUCUUAUGAUCACUUCAGUUUAUGAAGAGAUGGACAUUGUGGUAUAUCAAGCUUCACCACAAUGGCGCCUCACAUUUUGAGAAACUUGGAGAGAAGUAUUAUGCAGAAAAUGACCCCCAUGAAAGGCUAAAGGGAAUUAUAUUGACCUGAAGCAAGCCAAUAGGUAACACUGUACACAAUUAAUUUGUAUUUAAAUUAGGUCAGUAGGUAGUCUAAUUUCCUGUUUGAAAGAAAACAUAUGUUUGGGAUUAAAUAAAACAAGGAAAGGUAUUAAGCAUUUGAAACCAUCGCAGAGGUGCCUCUCUUUGGCUAUGUGGGGUCAGGAAACUAUUGUUAUGUUUAGCUGUAGCGUGUCUCAAGGGUCCCUUUGAUUUUUCUCAGGGGAUGAAAGACGUAAGAAGCAGUGUCUUAUUUUUGACUCAUAUUAUAAAAUACAAGGAGGAUUAAGGAGCAGUCAAAUGUCAUGUGUGGGGAACAGAUUUGGUUAUGAAUGCCCACUAUGACAUUUGCAUAGUACAGCGGUCAGAAGGGGAAAGGAAAAUAUAUAUGCUAAGCUAUGCAUCUAUCAUACACUAAUAAGAUAAGUCAAAUAAGAUGAUCUUUCAUCAUGUUAUGUGAUUGCCUACUCUUGAGACUACUGAAAGAUUUAUUUAUGUCACUGCAGAGGACUUCCAAGUAUUGGGUAAGCUUUCAGUGUCCACAGAGUUACAACACAUUCAGAGCUUGAGAGGGUCCAAUUCCGCCAUCUUAGCCUUCUUUCUGCAAAGCUAGAUGCCACAUCUGUACGCUGUAAAAGUAGUCACCAUUUAGGCUAUAUUUAUUAUUUGUAAACAGCUAAAUUGUUAACAAGUACUGAAAAUAUUACCCAUGUCCACACAUUCUCAAAAGAAUCCACUAACGUUCCUCAAUAUCUGAUUGUGAUAGUUUUAAGAAAUUGAAUUUGGCAAAAUUCACGAAAAUUUGAAUAUAAGACUUGGGAUACACCAAAAAAAUUUUCUCCUGAGAAACUGUGAAGAUAAAGACUAAACUUAACCACAGAUUUAUUUCUGCUUUUCAUCCACGUAUCCAGGGAGGUUGCUAAUGGGAGGGAUGCCUCAGAAAACGCACAUGUCUGUGAAAACUUGGAACCCACUAAUGCUUUUCAAGUGAUUUUAUUUCAAGUCUAAGCCACAAGAUAUAAACUUUCAUCAAAAAUGGUAAUCUAGUUAAAAUCAGAGCUGUGUGGAAUGUUUCAUGUUUAUGUAUAACUUUUAUGGUAGACCCUCCCACACAGGGGAAAUAAUGUGCCCAAAUUCUGUUAUUUUUACAGUAUGCAAUAUAUCACAGACUAAUCCCACUCAUCAGCUCCGUGUGUUUUAAAUAGAUUCUAAAAAAUGAAAAAUAAAUGAAAGAAAAAUGAAGAAUAUUUGAAAAAGUAAAUUUUAAAUUCCACUUGGAAGCCAAAGAUUU